AUGAUGCAUGGGCAAUGCUUUAUGAUUCAUUCAUUUAUUCAUUUACUUUACUUUAAAACUUAAGGGGUUGUCCCACUCACCUGGUGACUGAAGCUUUAACAACGAACUCUGAACGACUAUCUCACAACCGGGGGUCUCGGUUCCUCGGGUCCGAACCUACACAGGUGGACUCAAAUGAGGCACCAAAACAACAAGAACAUAACCCUAAACAUACCCCCCAAAAACCUCCUAAAAACACCUCAAAACACUCCUAGGAAGCAUGCAAGAAAAGGCUGGACAGGGCACUUUCGGCGGCACCUUCGGCGGCCGGAAGUCCCUCCAGAGCCGAAAGUCAGGCAGGUUCGGCGGCACCUUCGGCGGCCGAAACUCCCAGACAGAGGCGAAACUCAUGCAUGUUCGGCGACACCUUCGGCGGCCGAAAGUCUCGGACAGAGCCGAAACUCCAACUUUCGGGGGCAAGCUUCGGCAGCCUAAAGCUGCCUCUCAAGCCAUGUUCGGCGGCCGAAACUCCCUUCGGCUGCCGAACCUGGUUUCUGAAAAAAGGCAGAAACCUGGCUCCCUUAAGCAUUUUUGCCUUCAAACUCACCAAUCAUGCAUAAACUCGUUCUAAAACAUGCAUAAACACCAUACAUCACACCUAGGGGUCUCAAACUAUCAAAUACCCCAACUACAACACUUCAACACACACAAACAACAUACAUUGUUCAUCAAAACAUCAAAACCAUAAACUCAUCAACAAGCCUAAACAUGCAUCUUUACCCAUAAAACAACUUAAAACUUACUUAAAACAUAUAAGGAGCUUAAGAUCGGCUCUUACCUCUUGAAGAUCGAGAGGGAGACGACCUAAA
rnacentral:lncRNA from 1 species